rnacentral:lncRNA from 1 species
GUGGAAGGAAUAUGUUCUGCUAAUCUUUCUCAAAUCGUCUGGGCCUGCCUGGGCUGGGCGGACGGAACAGGGGGGCGGCAGGAAUAACGCGUGCCAGAUUUCUGCUUCUGUCUCCAUGCACGGUGCACCUGCUUUCAACAGCUUCACGGACUGAAAGAAAGACAGGACAAAAGCAAAAGAUCAUUAUUCCUUUUGUUCGACAGAAAUAAAGAAGAAAAAAAAAUGGUCUGAGUGCGUGUGGUCUCUCAGCAAACUGCGUUGCUGGGCAAGCGAAGGGCCGGGACUUGGAGCGACAACAACCCGUACCGCGGACUCGUCGCCUCCAUCUCCUCCGCUGUCUCAUCCGGGUCGCCAUGUCUCUAGAUUCCUCUAGAAAAAUUGCCGGACCACCUUUGUUUCCCUUCAUCCGGG